UUUUUCAUAAAUAUGUUCUGUAACAUUUUUCAAUUAUAUAAUGUCAUUAAUAAUUCAGGGCAAUACCCCACGUUUUCAACCAGAACACAAAAGGGCCCGAGGGACGAGGCCCACAAAGGAAGAAAAACGUAGAGAGUACAUCAUUGGUGGGGCGCCACAUCUCAGAGAGAGCCUUUAUCCAUCACAACAUCUCAAAUCUAUGGACCACAUUUUGUAAUAUCAUUCAAGUCAACAUCCAAUAUCCUAGAAAAGUCGAUAUUUUAUCUCCUGUUUUUAUCCAUGCGAGGAGAGAGAAACCCAAUUUCUACGAUUAUCACAAAUAAUUAUAUACUCAAAGAUCAUCAGAAUUGUAAUUUCAGUCAUUCAAACAAGAUUCAAGAUAUAAUCGCAUGAAGAAAAGCCUAUCUUAUUUAUGGUUUGGUUCUCAUCCCAUCAACACAAGAGUAAUCAAACUCGGAAAAGAAAAAGAGGACUCAUGAACCCAACCCUACACACACCAGAUCCUAAAUUACUAACACACCACCACCACCACCACCACCAC
rnacentral:misc_RNA from 1 species